rnacentral:rRNA from 1 species
UACAGAGGGUGCGAGCGUUAAUCGGAAUUACUGGGCGUAAAGGGCGCGUAGGUGGUGAAGUAAGUAAGAUGUGAAAUCCCUGGGCUUAACCUGGGAAGGUCAUCUUAGACUGCUUGACUGGAGUACGGUAGAGGGUAGUGGAAUUUCCGGUGUAGCGGUGAAAUGCGUAGAUAUCGGAAGGAACACCAGUGGCGAAGGCGGCUACCUGGACUGAUACUGACACUGAGGCGCGAGAGCGUGGGUAGCAAACAGG